rnacentral:rRNA from 1 species
AUACGGAGGGUGCAAGCGUUACUCGGAAUCACUGGGCGUAAAGCGCGCGCAGGCGGCCAUUUAAGUUGCAUGUGAAAGCCUACGGCUCAACCGUAGAACUGCAUCCAAAACUAUUUGGCUAGAGUGUGGGAGAGGAAGAUGGAAUUAGUUGUGUAGGGGUAAAAUCCGUAGAGAUAACUAGGAAUACCAAAAGCGAAGGCAAUCUUCUGGAACACUACUGACGCUGAGGCGCGAAAGCGUGGGGAGCAAACAGGAUUAGAAACCCUAGUAGUCC